rnacentral:rRNA from 1 species
UGCCUAACACAUGCAAGUCGAACGGCAGCACGGGAGCAAUCCUGGUGGCGAGUGGCGAACGGGUGAGUAAUAUAUCGGAACGUGCCCAGUCGUGGGGGAUAACGCAGCGAAAGCUGUGCUAAUACCGCAUACGAUCUCUGGAUGAAAGCGGGGGACUCGCAAGAGCCUCGCGCGAUUGGAGCGGCCGAUAUCAGAUUAGCUAGUUGGCGGGGUAAAGGCCCACCAAGGCGACGAUCUGUAGCUGGUCUGAGAGGACGACCAGCCACACUGGAACUGAGACACGGUCCAGACUCCUACGGGAGGCAGCAGUGGGGAAUUUUGGACAAUGGGCGAAAGCCUGAUCCAGCAAUGCCGCGUGCAGGAUGAAGGCCUUCGGGUUGUAAACUGCUUUUGUACGGAACGAAACGGUCUCUCUUAAUACGGGGGGCUAAUGACGGUACCGUAAGAAUAAGCACCGGCUAACUACGUGCCAGCAGCCGCGGUAAUACGUAGGGUGCGAGCGUUAAUCGGAAUUACUGGGCGUAAAGCGUGCGCAGGCGGUUAUAUAAGACAGAUGUGAAAUCCCCGGGCUCAACCUGGGACCUGCAUUUGUGACUGUAUAGCUAGAGUACGGUAGAGGGGAAUGGAAUUCCGCGUGUAGCAGUGAAAUGCGUAGAUAUGCGGAGGAACACCGAUGGCGAAGGCAAUCCCCUGGACCUGUACUGACGCUCAUGCACGAAAGCGUGGGGAG